UUGUAAUAGAGGUCACAUAAAUUUUCCAAAUCAUAACUGGUAGCUGUAACUUUAGUCCAUUCAGUAUGAUGCCUUUAAAACCAUAACCUAUACAAGUAAAAGUUAUCAGUGUUCAUUUCUUAUUUUAUGGUUUGAAUCUUUUCGUUGUUUUUGAGUUGAAGAAAUCACCCUACUCUUCAUUGAAUUGACAUAAUGUCUUCACUAGUGUGUAUAUUUCAGAUACUUUUUCUAUUCUUUGUUGUUGCUCCUCUAGGAAGGAGGACACCUGGGUCUGAAUCACUAGGGAAAACCCCCAGCGUGGAGGUCUCUAGAAACUUGAGCCACACAGCCUGUGCUCACCUGUUGCACUCGGAAUGCAUAAAGCAUCAAUGCUUUACAUGUGAAUGCUCAACUGUCUUUUAGACAUUUGGAGAGAAGGAGUUGGAGUUCAAGUCCUGCCAUUCACACAUUUAAUCAUUCCUUCGGUCAACAAAUAUUUAUCCAACACUUGCCAGCACGACUUGACUACUCCAAGCAACUUUUGUCCAGAAAGAUAAAUGUUGCAAAUCCAUUCUAAAUCCUCAACUUUUCAACAGACAACAUAAAAUGACCGUUAACCUUUCACGAGUCUUUGGAACCCUCACUUCACUAUGCUCACCAAUCCCAAACCACUGCAUCAUGAUCCUUACCCAAUCCUAACCAAGCCACCACACUGAAUACCCACCUGAAACUAGAUCCAAUACUCAUCAAUUCCCCAACUUUGCUCUCCCUAUUCUUUUUUUAAAAUAUAUAUUUUUAUUGAUUUCAGUGAGGAAGGGAGAGGGAGGGAGAGAGAGAAACAUCAGUGAUGACAGAGAAUCAUUGAUCGGCUGCCUCCUGCAUGCCCCACACCAGGGGUUGAGCCCACAACCUGAGCAUGUGCCCUGACCAGGGAUGGAACUGUAACCUCAUGGCUCAUAGAUCAAUGCUCAACCACUAAGCCACGCUGGCCAGCAUUUCUUUGUGGAUUCCAAAAGCCAUUCCACUCUUACUGAGUGAGCACUGUUGCAUGUCCCUAAUAUUUCGGAGGUAAGAAGGAAGAUUGAAUUUACAUUCAUUCAGUGUGCGUCAUCUAACUCCAAAGACCUCCCUUGGCCAUGUCUCUUUCAAAGUGCUUCCUCCUGGCUCCACCUCCAAUAUGACUCUGACCCCCAGGGAAUUCAGCUCCCGUUGGCCUUCCCCUCCCCUCAUUCAUCAUGGAUUCUGACUCUAACUUGAAGCCAUCCAGCAAUUUUUUAAGAAAACAAAGAUAUUCUCUUACUGCAAGAACCUGUUAGGAAAACAAAAAAUUUUCUAAACAUUACAUUCGUGGUUAGGGCUAACCCUAACCAAAAAAUUAAAAACCUUAAUGUCUACCCAUGGGACAUCAAUGUUAUGAAAUCACUAUAUAGUGAUAGAAAGGGAUGAGGUGGAUUUCUAUGUACUCACAGGCAAGGAUCGUCAUGACAUAUUGUUAAGUAUAUAAAACAAGGUGCUUACAAAUAUGUAUAUUAUAAUCCAUUUUUUGUUAAAAUAUUAUACACAUAUGCCUUUCCCUUACAUGUGUGUUCAGUAUAAAUCAGCAGCUCCCUGAUUCUGCUCACUCGUCACUCAUUGGACUGCAUGGGGGAAGUAAGAGAAGCUAUGAAACAAUAUUGAUGUUGUUAUAAAUGAAACCUUUGAUCUUUCCAA